GGAGAGAGUAUUUGUUAUUCAUAUUAAUCAGAUUAAUUUAGUGUCAGAUCUCAAAAAAGAAGAAGAAGAUUAGAAACCACCAUCCAACCAUAGUCCAUCCCUUUCGAUCCAAAUUCCAAAUACAACAUACAAACAGCUAAUAACACAGUAUACAUGAAUUUGCAGUAAACAUAGGUGACUUACACAUUCCUUAUGCACUAUUGAAGUUUUCAAGAAAGGCAAAAAUGGGUUAUGGGAGCUACCUAGUCCCACUGAAUCUUUCUGUGGUAAGUCCACUCGGAAGGAUUUAUGGUGGUUUUCCCAUCCGAAGCAACUAGAUCGUAGGGAGAGUCCUCUGAGAACUCACUCGGCAUCGCCUUCCAAUGUAAACUAGGCUCCCACUCCGCCUGCUGCAGCACCUUCAGUAUCUCUUCCACCACGACCNUUUUUUCAAAAUUCAUGUACUAUUUUUUUGACUAUAACCCCUAUUUUAAUUAUAUAGGCUAUGAAUCCCCUCAAAAAAAAUUAUAUAGGCUAUGAAUAGAAUUUCUCCAACUCAAAUGAUGAGCCCGUAACAAUUUUGUGUUGUUGGACCAUAAAGGAGAAGAUAGGCCCUAAAAAAAAGUUAGGGAAUGAAUCGCUCGACUUUUAAACUAAAGUCAUCAGCCAAAUCAUCCACUGAAAUAGCCCGAAACUAAAAUCAGAAUCCUAUUUCGUCACAAUUCAAUAGUCACAUUUUUAUUUGAACAUUCUAUAAAUAAAAAAUUAUUAUAUAAAAAAUGCUCCCACCUAACUCGCACAUAAUUAUCUCUUACUCCAUCUGUCUCAUUACAAAUGUCUCAUUACUUCUGGACAUGUAAAUUAAGAAUUUGAGAUACAGUGGAUUGGUGAAAAUUAUUUAAAUAUUAGGUGUAGGGAGAGAAUAUAUAUUGUCAAAAAAAGAAUAUGACAUUUAUAAUGGAAUAUUCCAUUAUGAAAAGUAGGAUAUUUAUAAUGGGACGGAGGGAGUAUUUCACUUAAUAUCCGUAUCCUGAUCAUCGAUCCAAAUUCCAAAUACAACAUACAAACAGCUAAUAACACAGUAUACAUGAAUUUGCAGUAAACAUAGGUGACUUACACAUUCCUUAUGCACUAUUGAAGUUUUCAAGAAAGGCAAAAAUGGGUUAUGGGAGCUACCUAGUCCCACUGAAUCUUUCUGUGGUAAGUCCACUCGGAAGGAUUUAUGGUGGUUUUCCCAUCCGAAGCAACUAGAUCGUA
rnacentral:lncRNA from 1 species